GGGUUUCUAAAACUCGGUAAUGUUCUCAGACAGAUUUGAUGAUCUGAGUGAGUAUCUAAUGUUCAGAUGACCUACUUUAGUUAAAAAAAGAUAGCAUAGGGGUGCCUGGUGGUUCAGGGGUUAAGGCGCUAAAUAUGAACCGCAACGUCCCCAGUUUGCAUCCAGCUGGGGCUCUUUGUCUCCCUCCCCUUCAUUUCCUGUCAUCUGUCGACUGUUGGUUAUCUAAUAUCACAGCAUGG